GAGUAAAGCAGGUUAUGCAAGCUUGUUUGAAUAUAGGGGAACCAUCCUCUAAGCCUAAAAUAUCUUAGUAAUCGAUAGUGGACAAGUACUGUGAAGGAAAGGUGAAAGUAGAAUCUUUUUUGGUUUGAAAUAGAACUUGAAAUUUAACACUGAUGAACUAUUGGAGUUGCAAUAAGUAAUGACAAUGUACCUUUUGCAUAAUGGACCAACGAGUUUAUUUAAAUAGCAAGCUUAAAUUGUUAAAAUAAGGCGUAAUUAA
rnacentral:rRNA from 1 species